GAAUCCCCAAGUUUACCAAAGAGUCCAUCUUCAUAGUAAGAGCCUUGAUUUGCGCAGUCAAGGCUGUAGUAGCAUCAACAUCCAGAAUCCCUGCUACUUUGCCCUGAUGAAGACGCUGAGUAGGAUUCUGAUAUUCAUUUGCAGCCAUCAUCUCGAUCAACUCAUAAGCCUCCUCAUAGCUCUUAGUCAAUAGAGCUCCACCUGAUGCUGCAUCGAGCAUUGG
rnacentral:lncRNA from 1 species